UUGGCGGACGGGUGAGUAACGCGUGGAAAACCUGCCGUAUACUGGGGGAUAACACUUAGAAAUAGGUGCUAAUACCGCAUAAGCGCACAGCUUCGCAUGAAGUGGUGUGAAAAACUCCGGUGGUGUAAGAUGGACCCGCGUCUGAUUAGCUUGUUGGCGGGGUAGGGGCCCACCAAGGCGACGAUCAGUAGCCGGCCUGAGAGGGUGGACGGCCACAUUGGGACUGAGACACGGACCAGACUCCUACGGAAGGCAGCAG
rnacentral:rRNA from 1 species